ensembl:lncRNA
GCAGUGAAGGAGACAUAGGAGACGCAGUUUCAAUCCCUGGGUUGGGAAGAUCCCAUGGAGAAGGAAAUGGCAACCCACUCCAGUAUUCUUGCCUGGAGAAUCCCAUAGUCAGAGGAGCCUGGCUGGUUACAGCCCAUGGGGGUCACAAAGAGCCGAACACGACUGAAGUGGCUUAGUACAUCAAGCUUUUUAACGUUCGCCUUUUGAGCCAUGUUACCUGAUGCGACGACACAUCAUGCAGUGAUAGUCUCUGGGGCCUACUGGACAGCAGCUACGCAGGAUCUGAGGCUUUGGAUGUGAACAACACACUGGUCCAAGAAAAUCCACAGGAGAGCCCAGAAAAGCACGGUGGUUUUUCUCCCACAUUGAUCUCUUCUGUAAUAAUGGAAUGUGCAGAGUAAAUGGAACUCCAUUUGCUCCUUUGGCUGCUUGAGAACCAUUAAGACCCUGUUAACAUCACUCAUCUAAUAAG